rnacentral:lncRNA from 1 species
CAGCAGCGCUGAGUGAAAUAUCUAAGGAUCUGAUAUCUCGGCGAUGUUGAACGGCAGGGAGUUCCAUUCGUUUAUACACAAUACAUUAAAAAUUCAA